UGAGCCAGUCCAGGUCGAGACUUUUGAAGACCACAAGAGCGACGAUGGAGGUCCCGUUGUACUCGUCGGCGGAGCUGGGUGCGCCCUCUGGAUACAUCAAGCGGAUGGUUGUACGAGAACCAGCAUCUCUCUCAUAGCCAAUUGUCAACGCACCUGAUGAUGACGUCAUACUGAUCUAUAUGUGAACCAAGGCGGCUCCCGUGGAGUACCCCUCCACUGCCCACCACAAUGCAUCUUCUGCAGCUUCCGUCUCGCCGCAAAGACUGAGGCAGACCAGGCUGAGGUAGAGAUGCGAGAGUGCGAGCCAGAACCUCUUGGCUCCCUCUGAGCCCUAGAGGAGGGGGCAUGUCCCAAGAGGCAGCGCUGCCCUCUUGCUGCAGGAACACCGGGAUGUCCAUCAGGGUCGAAGAACAUGGCAACUGCUUCAGGCGCUCCACGCACCAUCGACGAUGACACCGGCCUGACAGCAGGCAAGCCGAACGGUUCAGCACAUCCUGAGGCGGAAGAGGAGUGGAAUACCACGGUCUGUGUGUGGGUGUGCAUGUGUGUCAAAACAUACCUGUUUGGGAUAUUGAUCAUCAGUAAUAGCCAAUUUGUGCAUAGGGAAAUAUGCUGGAAUCAGAAUAGCAGAGUAGCAUCCAAACAGAAGUAGCACACUGAGGACAGCAUUCUCAGUCCUGGAUGAUGACAACACAUUAUUAGUUUGUGAUCUAAAUGGACACUCACACAAAAGGUGGUACGAAUUUUGAAAAGGAAUUUAAGAUAUGCUUAAAACAUAAUACAUUGUGUAGUAUUCCAUCAUAUCUUUAGGUUUUGGGAAUAGACUCUAUUCAAUCCUUCAAAGAACCCAUUCCAAAUUUGUUAAGAAAAAAAAAACAAUGGAAUGAAGGAAGAAGCAUUUGACCUGACUGCAGUAAGUUCCCAGCCCCUGCGUUAAGUUGAUUUGUUUUCUUUACCUGCUUAUGAAAAAUUCGCUGCAUGGCAUUGUUUCUUUGUCUGCUACAGGCGUCAUCACUUCCGGCUCUGCAUUCUUAGGCAGCAAUAUAGAAACAUCCUGUCUUCUACAUUCAAGCGAUCGAGGGUCACUAUGGUAACAACACCUCCAACACAGACAUAAGUCACGGCGCUAUCUGAUGUUGGACCAGACUCAAUGAGAGGAGCUGAGAAAAGAAGGGGGUGCUAACCAGCCUCUGUGGAAUUGCGUGUGGAACCAGCCGAGGAAUGCUCGUGCAUUCCCAUGAUACCCCGCGGCGUCCAAAACAGCUUGACGAGGAAUUCAUCAAUUCAAUCAUCUGCUUUAAGGUAGAAUCUUCACUAAUGUACCCAAUAUGUUUAAAAUUUAUAUAUGCUAAUGUACACACAUGGACAGGAACAUGUAAUUAUAAUGAUUUCAGUUCUAAUUUGAAAAUAAUCUUCUUGAAGAUUCUUUUCUCACUGAUGUCUAAUUGUGCGUCACUAUUUAAAUGAAGGACAUUCACUUGCCUUCUUUCCACUCGCCAUGGUACUCCUCUCCAGUGGCGUAGGUGAAGGAGCCUCUGGUCAGAGUCAUGUCGCCCCCUCUAUCUGACAAACACAUGUAGUACGUACAUGAGGUUUACCUUUGACCUCGCACUUGAAAUCCACUGCUGCAGAGACAAAUUGCCCUGAUGGGAUUAUCACAGUGUCACUGGGAAAAAGGAGAACUGUGUCUCUCUUUGUGUCUCUUUUAUUUAGUCACUCAUGUCACCAAGUUGGAUAGACACACGAGAACAGAAUACAGUACACUGUUGUCCGAUAUUAAAAAUUGAUUUGUCAGUUAAA